rnacentral:rRNA from 1 species
UACGGAGGGGGCUAGCGUUGCUCGGAAUUACUGGGCGUAAAGCGCACGUAGGCGGAUUGUUAAGUCGGGGGUGAAAUCCUGGAGCUCAACUCCAGAACUGCCUUCGAUACUGGCGAUCUCGAGUUCGGGAGAGGUGAGUGGAACUGCGAGUGUAGAGGUGAAAUUCGUAGAUAUUCGCAAGAACACCAGUGGCGAAGGCGGCACACUGGCCCGAUACUGACGCUGAGGUGCGAAAGCGUGGGGAGCAAACAGG